rnacentral:rRNA from 1 species
GGACUACACGGGUUUCUAAUCCUGUUUGCUCCCCACGCUUUCGCACCUCAGCGUCAGUACCGGGCCAGUGAGCCGCCUUCGCCACUGGUGUUCUUGCGAAUAUCUACGAAUUUCACCUCUACACUCGCAGUUCCACCCACCUCUCCCGGACUCAAAGAUCGCCAGUAUCGAAGGCAGUUCUGGAGUUGAGCUCCAGGAUUUCACCCCCGACUUAACGACCCGCCUACGUGCGCUUUACGCCCAGUGAUUCCGAGCAACGCUAGCCCCCUUCGUAUUACCGCGGCGGCUGGCAC